GCUGACGGCGCCCCCUCAGUCCUCCUGCUGUCAUGCAUCAGCACACACAGCUCUGCAAGGGCCAGCGCUGCGAGCAGAGAAGUUUCCAUUGUCUGCCGGCUGGAGGUGGGGCCCUCCGCCCACGGCUGAGCAUCACAGAGGUCAGAGCAGAUGCUGACACUCAGAGCAGAGAGGCCUGCAGCAUCUCCGGCUGACCUGGAGAAGCAGAGAUCAGAGGGAAGAGUCGCUCCUUGCCCCCGGAGCCCACGGAGCGGAGCCUGCCGCGGAGCCACGAGGCAUGGCUAGAGCCGGGGCUUGGGGUCUCGCAGUGCUUGGCUCUCUGAGCCUCUGCCUCUGGGGCUGUCUCCCUACUCCUGACGUUUUUCUCAGCAAGUCCCCCACUGCCCAGGAGGUCUCUGCUGUGGUGAGAUGCCUGGUUCCCUAUGACCCGCUGGUGAUUCGGGUUACUUUCUGUAAGGCCAAGGAGGAACUGUCCAGCCAAAAAGCCACAUGAGGCAAACUCACCUACGAGUUAGCCCAGGAAGUGUCCGUCCAGGAGGCAGGACAGAUUUUCUGUGGGUAUCAGCAUAAGGACGACCACAGCCGAGUGACCAGUUCCUUUCUCAGCAUCCCGUGGGACCGGUGCAAACCAGACUCCAAUGUUACCAGCGAGGGGUCGGGCUGGGAAUGACAAUUCCUGUCUUCCUGCUGCUGGUGCUGGUCCUGACAGGUUACCUGCUGCUGAGAAAAGGGACGAGAUCUGCAAUGUUCUUUAUGCUCAGGGAUUCCCAGACUGGAUUUUGCCUCGUGAUCACAUCCGUAACCAAUGGUGAGAUCGCUCCAGAGCAUCGGGCCCGAUCUUGUGGCAGAUUCUGAUCUGUUCCUGGGCCAGAUCCCCAGCUGGCAUCAGUCACCAGAGCUCCAUCGGUUUACAUGGACAUGGCCACCAUGCUGUUUUGCAUUAGGCAGACGCCUGCCUUGCUGGGGACAAGGAGCGUUUGGUGUCCAGGCAGUCGCACCUGGUUCUUUCAAGCACAUGGGCAAAUGGAAACAUUUCCCACCACUUCUCUUCACUUCCUUCUCUCUGUCUCCCCCUCCUGGUUGUUUUAUGUAGCUGCUUCCAUGCCUCUAGAUGUCCCUCUAUGCUAUGGGGUGCAAUUCCCCCUCUGCAGAGGCAGCACGAGGCCCAGGCACCCUAUUUUGCAGGUUUAGUGGGAGGUCAGUGGGGCCUGGGUGUUGUGCUAGCCCCUCUGUGCGGUGGUGGCGGCGGUUGGAGAACCCCAGCCCCUGGGAAUGGCUCAGACACUCCUGCGGCAGGUGACGUCCCGUUGUUUUCACCCCGCAGCAUCCCCAGCCGCCAGGAGAGGAGGGGCUGUGCAUGCAGCCGGCUGCCAGUGCCCUGGUGCAGCUGGCCGAUUCAGAGAUCUACGGGCCUCAGACAGAGCGAGAACCCCAAGUGCAGAGAGGCACCUUCCUCCGGCCUGUCAGUCUGGCGAUGUGGACCCAGAUCAAUGCGGGGUCAGUCUCAGUCCCGGUGUGACUCCAGCCCUAGGCGCCUCAGCCACUGGAUACGUCUACACUGUGAUCAGAAACCCGCUGCACCGAAUUGUAGAGCCCGGCUCAGCUGACCUGGGUUCCAGGGCUAUAGAAUCGCAGUAUAAAUGUUCAGGCUUCGGCUGGAGCCCAGGCUCUCUGGCCCUCCCUCCUUGCGGGGUCCCAGAGCCAGGGCUCCAGAUCGAGCCUGAACGUCUACACUGCAAUUCUACAGCCCCGCAGCCCAAGUUGGCUGAGCUGGGCCAGCCGCGGCCGUGCCAGGGAUCUCGUUUGCAGUGUGGAUGUACCCUUAGAGCCAGGCUUUCAAAGGGAUUUCAGUGUGUAGGGAAGCAGAGAGGCCCCACGGGGAUUUUUAAGGACCCAGGGAGGUCCGGCGCCUCAGUCCCAUUGACACCGAUGGCUGUCGGGGCUGUGUGAGGGCUUUGGGAAGUGGCUCAGGUGCCGAUCUGCUUCUUUGGGAGCCCAAAUCCCUUAGCACACCUGGCCCUGAGCAACUCACUCCCUCCUCAGGAGGCAUGGGGGCGGGGGCGGGGAGCUGCAUCGACUCUGACAGCACUGAGCGCUCUCUGAGAGGUAGGUAUAUGCGGAUUGGCCUGAUCCUGGCUGGGUGCUGCUGUGAUACGGGAAAUAAUAAAUGGAUUGUCCCCACUUGGGAAAGAUCAGUGCCCCCCACAUCACCCCAGGGUGCUUGUGGGGAAUGCAGACCCCUCCAGUGUCACCCCAGGGCAGAUCUGUUGAAUGCAGGCCCCUCACAGUGUCACCCUGGGGCAGUCGUGGGGAAUGCAGACUCCCCUCCCCCCCCCCCCCCCCAAUGUCACCCUGGGGCAGUCAUGGUGGAUGCAGACGUGCCUUUCAGAUGAUUGUUUCAGCUUUACAAACGUUCGCUGCAGCUUUGUGACCUGCAAGCAGGAAAGCUUCCAAGACCAGCAUAUUGAGAUGGGCCCGUAGACUGUUCAGAGCCCUGUGCAUCCAUGUCUGUCACAUGCAGCUGGGUGUUCCUGGCUCGCUGGCUGGGUUCCCUGCAGACGCUGGGAUAUCUAGGGGGUGAUUAAUGCACAGUCUCAAGAGCGGCUACAUUUUAAUCAAGGGGGAAACCCCUGCUAGGGGUCGGAAGGACUUAGAACCGCAGGACCCCCAUACAGAAGACGGGUGACAUCUGGUGCGUGUCGCAUCUGCUGAGCCCUUUUAUUGUUUUAUAAGUUGUCUCCAUACGGCUUUUGUCCUAAAAUAAAUGCCCUGCGCUCUGUGUAAAGCUGGCUACUCACGGGCGACCCUGCCACUGUCUCUGGAGAAAUAGUGAAGCUGCAGGGGCUGAGCAAAGGAGAAACCUGAUGAAGUGCAAGGUGGCUGCAGCCCAAACCCCGGCUGGGGGAGAGGGACGUGGGUCCCUGCUGGAGGCCUAAGGGGUGGCCUUGAGCUGACAACGGAGUGGUCGGAGGUAUAAUUACGCCCAGGCAGCGACAUACGGACACACACUGAGCCAAGAGGGGCCUUACACCCAACGGAGAGACAUGGUCGAAAAUGCAGAUUAUUUUAUGAGGGAUUUUUUUAAAAAUUCAUUUUCUUCUAAACAUCCCAUGAACAUUUGUCAGUUCUCAGAUGAAAACUCAAGAGUGACAAUGAUGAUACAGUCGGGUUUCAAACCCUGAUGGAUUUCUGAAAAAAAAAAAUUGUGGCGAGAAAUCUGUUUUCAAAAAACUCUUUUUGCCCAAAAAGGUUUGGAGUGCAGGGAAAGUUGUUGUUUUCUUUAACCGCCUGCUUUUUUUUUUUUUUACCAACCCCCUAAUUUUUUUCCAGCAAUUAUUUUUUGAUUUUUGGUUUCUGGUUUUUCACCCCAAAAUGGAAAAUUUUCACUGGAUUACAAUGUUUUUUUUGAUCAAAAAUGCCAUUUUUUCAUGUACAAAAUGUUUCGAUGAAAGAAUUUCUACCAGUUCUGCCAAAGCAUCUCCGGUUCUGUCCAGUCAUGGCUGACGAUCCGGCCAGGGGCCGGCUUCCCUCUACCCAGGUCUCCUUUGAAACACCCAGCACCCCGUGGCCACUUUGCAGCCGUUUCCAUGCCCCCUCCCCUCUGGGUUCCCCUCUGUGCUGGGCGAGAGUGUUACUGACCCAGACAUGAGGGAAGUGCCAAUGUUUUCUGUCUGAUCCGCCCCACAGAAUCCACUCAACUGUCCCCCUUCACACUGUUCUGGGCCUUUUCCUCACACUGAGCAUGGAUCUGUUUAUUCAUUGUCCGAUCUAUUGCGCUCAGCGCACGCACAAUGUCAGGCCAAACAUAGCGCUGGCACAUCCUCCUACACAUGGGGACACGCAACAGGAUAAUAGCCUAUGUCAAGGUUCCUUCCCCACUCUGAAUAUCUGGGUACAGAUGUGGGGACGUGCAUGAAAAACCCCCUAAGCUUAUUUUUACCAGCUUAGGUUAAAACUUCCCCAAGGUACAAACUAUUUUACCUUUUGUCCCUGGACCUUAUUGCUGCCACCACCAAGCGUCUAACAAAUAUAACAGGGAAAGAGCCAACUUGGAAACGACUUUCCCCCCAAAAUCCCCCCAGGCCCUACACCCCCUUUCCUGGAGAAGGCUUGAUAAAAAUCCUCACCAAUUUGCAUAGGUGAACACAGACCCAAACCCUUGGAUCUUAAGAACAAUGAAAAAGCAAUCAGGUUCUUAAAAGAAGAAUUUUAAUUAAAGAAAAAAUUAAAAGAAUCACCUCUGUAAAAUCAGGAUGGUAAAUGCCUUACAGGCUAUUCAGAUUCAAAACAUAGAGAAUCCCUCUAGGCAAAACCUUA